UAGCUUUGUACUAAGUCAAACUUCUUUAACUUUGACCAAGUCUUUAAAAAAUAUAUUAACAUCUAUAGUGCCAAAUAAAUACACAAUCCAAGAUAUAUUUUAUGUUAGAUCUAAUAAAACUAAUUGGAUAUUGUUAAUGUUGAUACUUUUUUCCUAUAAACUUGGUCAAAGUUACAAAAGUUUGACUUAUGACAAAGCUAA
rnacentral:pre_miRNA from 1 species